AGGAAAAUUGCAACUUCGAUACGAUAUCUGCCUAAAGAGGAGAAACGACCGGAGAGGAUCGAACCGAAUUCUUUUUCCCACUCUACUGCCCUUUUUACAUAUCUUUACGCUUCGUUAUCCUCUCCAUCUACGCUCAACGUGAACAGCGGAGAAAAAAGAACGAGGUGUUCGAUAUUCGAUGUGGAGGAAAAAAAGUCGAACGUUUUCUCUUGCGACGAUGCAACGAAUAAUUUAACCGCAGCGAAGAUAUAAAGACAGCUAAGGACAGUAUAAAGAAUCGUACGGGUCACUGAAUCGUUUUAACCUGCCAAUCCCCGCUACGUCUAAUCUCAUUGCGUGUAGCGAAGCUCUUCUAUUAUUUAUAAGGAAAUCGGCGCACAGUUUGGACCUUCGUCUCUAAUACAAUACCGUAAAAUCGAAAACGUUUUAUCGUCGGUAGGUACGGUCGUACAAUUUGACCCAAAGCGUCGUUGCAAAUUAUUUCAACUAUUUAAUUAACUUCAAUUAUUUGAUUAGACCGUUCCCUUAAUCUUUCUUCGUGGUAUAAUAAAUGGGAUAAAUAAGUUACUUCUUCAUCAUAGAUAGAUUUUAUGCGAAAGAUGUUAGUCACAUCUUUUUUUUUUCUUUAAUAUCUGCUUAUGCGCAAUCUACUAGUCGAUGAUAAUGAGCAUUGAUUACGACAGUUUAAGUUGGCCUGAAUGCGAAAUACACCCACAACUUGUACAACGAUGGCAUUGACUCGCAUACUUAAAUGAUGUUGAAUUAUUAACAGUUAAA